AGAGUUUGAUCAUGGCUCAGAUUGAACGCUGGCGGCAGGCCUAACACAUGCAAGUCGAACGGUAACAUUUCUAGCUUGCUAGAAGAUGACGAGUGGCGGACGGGUGAGUAAUACUUAGGAAUAUGCCUUUGUGUGGGGGAUAACUAUUGGAAACGAUAGCUAAUACCGCAUAACGUCUUCGGACCAAAGGGGGCUUCGGCUCCCGCGCAAAGAGUAGCCUAAGCGAGAUUAGCUUGUUGGUGAGGUAAAGGCUCACCAAGGCGACGAUCUCUAGCUGUUCUGAGAGGAAGAUCAGCCACACUGGAACUGAGACACGGUCCAGACUCCUACGGGAGGCAGCAGUGGGGAAUAUUGCACAAUGGGGGAAACCCUGAUGCAGCCAUGCCGCGUGUGUGAAGAAGGCCUUCGGGUUGUAAAGCACUUUCAGUUGUGAGGAAAGGUUAACGGUUAAUACCCGUUAGCUGUGACGUUAGCAACAGAAGAAGGACCGGCUAACUCCGUGCCAGCAGCCGCGGUAAUACGGAGGGUCCGAGCGUUAAUCGGAAUUACUGGGCGUAAAGCGCACGCAGGCGGUUUGUUAAGCUAGAUGUGAAAGCCCUGGGCUCAACCUGGGAAUUGCAUUUAGAACUGGCAGGCUAGAGUUUUGGAGAGGGGAGUGGAAUUCCAGGUGUAGCGGUGAAAUGCGUAGAUAUCUGGAGGAACAUCAGUGGCGAAGGCGACUCCCUGGUCAGUAACUGACGCUCAUGUGCGAAAGUGUGGGUAGCGAACAGGAUUAGAUACCCUGGUAGUCCACACCGUAAACGCUGUCUACUAGCUGUUUGUGGAUUUAAUCCGUGAGUAGCGAAGCUAACGCGAUAAGUAGACCGCCUGGGGAGUACGGCCGCAAGGUUAAAAC
rnacentral:rRNA from 1 species